rnacentral:snRNA from 1 species
GUGUCGGCUGCUUUGUUGAGCCGUCACA